AAUCAACGCUGGCGGCGUGCCUAACACAUGCAAGUCGAACGCGAAAAUCCCGCAAGGGAUCAGUAGAGUGGCAAACGGGUGAGUAACGCGUGGGCGACCUACCUUCGAGUGGGGGAUAACCUUCCGAAAGGAGGGCUAAUACCGCAUGACAUCCCGUGUUUGGAUACACGGACAUCAAAGCCGGGGAUCGCAAGACCUGGCGCUUGGAGAGGGGCCCGCGUCCGAUUAGCUAGUUGGUGAGGUAACGGCUCACCAAGGCUCCGAUCGGUAUCCGGCCUGAGAGGGCGGACGGACACACUGGAACUGAGACACGGUCCAGACUCCUACGGGAGGCAGCAGUGGGGAAUUGUUCGCAAUGGGCGCAAGCCUGACGACGCAACGCCGCGUGGAGGAUGAAGAUCUUCGGGUCGUAAACUCCUUUCGACCGAGAUGAAUAUCCGGCGACCUAACACGUCGACGGAAUGACAGUAUCGAGGGAAGAAGCCCCGGCUAACUCUGUGC
rnacentral:rRNA from 1 species